UGCAUCCAAGACAGCCUUGUAUGCAGGGUUGGAGAUAGCAGUCGCAGCCAAGACACCAACUGGUUCGCCAGGACCUAUUGCACUAGGGAAGUCCAAGGCAUCAUCCUCCGUGUAGUUAAGUUGUAUGAUAGACUUGCUGCAGACAUUUCUUACUGUCCCAUCAUAGCAUAUGACGACAUCCCGCAGUAACGCCAUUAGAUUCUUAAAUAGUGUUCCAGGCUCCGUCAACCCCCUAGAGGAGCGAACAAUAGCUUCUCUUGUCGAAAUAGCAUGCACCAGCUCCUCAUACGGAUUAAGGCCAU
rnacentral:sRNA from 1 species